rnacentral:rRNA from 1 species
UACGUAGGGAGCAAGCGUUGUCCGGAAUCAUUGGGCGUAAAGCGCGCGUAGGUGGCCUCAUAAGUCCGCUGUGAAAGUCAGAGGCUCAACCUUUGAAAGCCGGUGGAUACUGUGAGGCUAGAGUACGGAAGAGGCGAGUGGAAUUCCUGGUGUAGCGGUGGAAUGCGCAGAUAUCAGGAGGAACACCAAUAGCGAAGGCAGCUCGCUGGGACGUUACUGACACUGAGGCGCGAAAGCGUGGGGAGCGAACAGG